rnacentral:misc_RNA from 1 species
GAUGAAGAACGUAGCGAAAUGCGAUACGUAAUGUGAAUUGCAGAAUUCAGUGAAUCAUCGAGUCUUUGAACGCACAUUGCGCCCCCUGGUAUUCCGGGGGGCAUGCCUGUCCGAGCGUCAUUGCUGCCCUCAAGCACGGCUUGUGUGUUGGGCCUCCGUCCUCCUCCCGGGGGACGGGCCCGAAAGGCAGCGGCGGCACCGCGUCCGGUCCUCGAGCGUAUGGGGCUUCGUCACCCGCUCUUGUAGGCCCGGCCGGCGCUUGCCGACACAUCAAUCUUUUUUCCAGGUUGACCUCGGAUCAGGUAGGGAUACCCGCUGAACUUAAGCAUAUCAAUAAGCGGCGGA